rnacentral:tRNA from 1 species
GCCUGGCCGAGUGGUUAAGAUGAUGGACUAGAAAUCCAGUGAGGGUUUCCCAGCACAGGUUCAAAUCCUGGCAACAACG